AUGGGCCGAGGGGACUAUUCCACUCGGUCAUCCCUGUCGACGUGGACGCCGCCGGCCGGCCCGUCUUCUCCACGACCUUCGAGUUUGGGGACUCGGAGCAGUCGCUGCGCUUGCGCGACGCCGUCGUCGGCACCAUUGCCGCGGAGGACUAUGCCACGCCGCUCCUCAGGGACUCGUACUGCAUGGCAUGUAGGAGAAUCUUCAGCGCUGGCGCCUGCUCGCACCACCAUGACCUGUGUGGCCCUGACGGCCUGA
rnacentral:rRNA from 1 species